rnacentral:hammerhead_ribozyme from 1 species
AUAGAAUUGACGAGUCCCAAAUAGGACGAAAUGCACAUCUACUGU